rnacentral:rRNA from 1 species
GGGGGCAACCCUGAUCCAGCCAUGCCGCGUGAUCGAUGAAGGCCUUAGGGUUGUAAAGAUCUUUCAGCUGGGAAGAUAAUGACGGUACCAGCAGAAGAAGCCCCGGCUAACUCCGUGCCAGCAGCCGCGGUAAUACGGAGGGGGCUAGCGUUGUUCGGAAUUACUGGGCGUAAAGCGCACGUAGGCGGACCAGUCAGUUGGGGGUGAAAUCCCGGGGCUCAACCCCGGAACUGCCUCCAAAACUGCUGGUCUGGAGGUCGAGAGAGGCGAGUGGAAUUCCGAGUGUAGAGGUGAAAUUCGUAGAUAUUCGGAGGAACACCAGUGGCGAAGGCGGCUCGCUGGCUCGAUACUGACGCUGAGGUGCGAAAGCGUGGGGAGCGAACAGGAUUAGAUACCCUGGUAGUCCACGCCGUAAACUAUGAGAGCUAGACGUCGGGCGGCUUGCCGUUCGGUGUCGCAGCUAACGCAUUAAGCUCUCCGCCUGGGGAGUACGGCCGCAAGGUUA